AUUUCGUAUCGCCUUCAAAUUUUACCAAAAUAUUCCCUCCCAAAAUAUUCCUACCAAUCCAGAUUUCAAUUCAAGGUUUUUCUUUUGAUGUUUACAGAUGAACAUAUAGGGGGUGUUUGGGAUUCCUUUUAACUUAUGACUUAUAACUUUUGAGAAGUCAUAAGUGAGAAGUAACAAUUUCUUACUUCUCAAUUUCUCCUUCUCAAAGCCAUUUGAAGGCAUAGAAGUCCUUAUUUGAGAGUGUUUGGAAUUCCUUUUGAUCAUAAAAGUUCUUCUCAACAGGUGUUUGGGUUUCCUUUUCACUUCUCAGAACUCAAUAAGUGAGAAGUUGGGGCAAAAUAAGGAACCCCAAACACCGCCAUACUACAAUUACGAAUUUGAAUUCAAGUUUUUUCCCCAAACCCUGAUUCUAUUUGGAGCCCUAAAUCUAUUCUUCACCAAAUUUCAAUUCAGUUAAAGAAUUAAUGGUGGCCGUUGGGCUAGGCAAUCAUUUGACAAUCGGCACACACACAACCACAGGCCCACGCUACUGGCUCGCAAGCAAUUGAACAAUCUGGUGUUCAACAAAAAGAAAAGGAAUACAAAGGCCAUUCGCUAAUUUUGUGUUCGAUUUGGUACACGUUCUUUCAUUGGUUUAAUCGACGUUAUUUUGGAGAAGAGGAAAACUUACCGUAUUCGCAGCAGAAAGAGGAGUUUCUUAAAGCACUUAAAGAGAAUCAAGCCCUAAUUUUGGUCGGUGAGGAUGUAAUGGUAAAGCCACUAAGAUUCCUCAAUUUGUGCUCAAAGCCGUAGAGUUAGAGAGCGUAGAUAAAUGUAACAAGUUCAUGGCGGUUUGCACCAACUUCUAAUAGUAUUAUCAGAAGUGGUCCAGCUGAUGUUGUGGAGAGUGUAAAUGGUGUCUCUAAUAGUUAUUUUUAGGAUUAUUAGGUUGCUGCCUUUGUCCCUAAAAGUGAACUUGACUGUGAAAUAUAUGAGAUGCCCAUUUGCUAGAAGUAAUUGCCAAAACAUACUACCGAAGAUCCAGAUGGAGGAGAUGAAAAGACGCGAUAUAACUUUUUUGCUGAUUGCUUGAUUGUAUUGGUUUCGAAGAAGCUGAAGAUAAGAAAGCCGAAUUUAUGACUGCAGACUAAAUUUAUGGAUUCUUUCAGGUGCUAUUCUUUCUUUAGCCAAAGUAAGACUACAAGGAGUGGAGGAGCUUGGGUUGGGGGCAUUGCUCGACGUGGCGAGGGUGGAAUCCACAAGCUUAUGGUGAAAAAUAAGGGGUGUGGCGUGGCCAGCCAUGUGAAAUUUUUUAAUUAAAGUAGCCAACCAAAGCCAUCCAAGUAACGUUUGCCACCCCCCCCCCCCCCCCCCCCCCGCGCCAGGCUGAAUACCCACGCCAAAGGGGCAAAGCCAUGCCCAAGCCCAGCCCGGAGUGGACCAGCUGGCGUUGAAGGGUUUCCUCCUAUCUGCAUAAAGCUUUUUAGUUCUUCUGUAGAAUUAGGCCUGUUUAAUCUAUCGUAAUAGAUGCAACUACAGUAUUGAAAUUUCAAAACUAGUGUUUUAUAUUUCACUGCAUUUGUUGUGUUUAAAAUAUAGAUGAUUGUUUUUAAGUUUUUUUCACACAUCUCUUGUAGUUUACUAAACUUAUUUUGAUUUUACCUAAUCAAGGUCCCUAAAUCUCCAAAAUGGCUGCUUAAAGCUUUGCAAUGGAGUCGUUUAAGCAUGUUUUUACAUAUGGCCAGGAUAUGUGCUUUAUGAGCAAACAAAUUAAGGUUUGACAUGUCACGAUUUUAUAAAGUCAUUUAAUCAUAUUUAUUGUUAGCUUAAAGCUCUCUUCUUUGUUGCUAUGUUAUAGUUAUAGAAACUUUUGAAUUCAUUCAAGUUUUUAGGAUAUGUACAAGACUACAAGUUGUAUAAAAUUAUUUAUUUCAAGAAGUCUACGUGUGGGUGUAGAGAUUCAACAUAUCUUGAGAUCUUAAAAACAAAGGGUUUGAUGAUGUGUCUGCUACUAUUUGGCUGUUACCGUAACCCUCGUUCUCCAUAUUCUCAUCAUCCUUGCUAUCGCUUUCGAGGAUCGCAGAUCCGACUCCUGGUUGUAGAUCCGAAUUAUUCUUCUCCGGUCAUCAAUUUCUCUCCCUACCAUUCGCGCCGGAGGUGUUGGAGUGAAUCUUCAAGUUGCGGAUACAGUCAUCAUUUUUGACACAGAUUGGAAUCCACAAGCAUUACAUAUAUGGAGGAUUAUAUGUGUUUUGUUUUUGUAGGAUGAUCCCCUAUGUGUUGCUGCCAGACAAGAUGGGAAGAUAUUAGUCUCUAGUCUGUGGGUUGAUCACAGUUUUGAUGUCGGAGCGCCUGUGGAUACAACCUCGGUAAUGUACGUACCAGUGAGAUAUUUGAAUGGGAUUCCAGGUGCAACGUAACUAGUUAUAUGUUUGACAGGAUAUCAACGUGAAGAUCGAGAGGACAUUAUGGUAAUGUCAAAAGAAGUUGAGUAUAGUCGGUUGGCUGAUGUGGCGACAAUAAGUAGUAAGUGCUGGAAACUAUGAAGUGGAAGUAUGACUACUAAGAAAACGUUAACACGAUGAUUAUUUAACUCGCAUGAAGAUUAUAAAAGAGAUUCAUGAACACAAUGAAGUUUUGAGUUUUUAUUCAUACACUUGUUAGUUUAUUUGGGUUAUAUGUUUGAUCACUAGACUUAAAUCGACACUUAUUAGACAUUUGGAAUCUUUGGAAGAUUGAUUGAACUUUUAAUUGAAGUGAUUAUUUUAUGAUUUCUA